UGUCGUGCAAAUGUUUUACACAAAUAUUAGAUUCGACUUGCGAUAACAAAUUAUUUGUGAAAAGAUUGAAAGCAAAAUGUUUCUUAAAGUUUUAGUAGUUCUUUUAACAGAUCUAUUUGUGAUAUAUUCCAUACGAUUGGAAAACUGUUCUGUAGACAAGAACAAUUCAGUUGUGAGUAUACAUCAACUUGAUAUUCAUUAAUCUACAAUAUCUUUUCCUGGAGAGAUUAUUGUCAAUGUUGACCUAACUGUGAACAGACGCAUCAACCAUCUUUUUCUUGACUUUGUCAAAGAAAAAAAGUCGUUAGUGUGGACCACAAUACCGUGCAUAGGAAGCUCAGAAAGAGGGUCAUGUAACAUAGAUUACUGCAAUGUGCUAUCUAAGUUCUGGAACUUUGAGAUUCCUUCAGGUGAAUUUGAAUUUCUCAUUGAAGAAAUCAUCAGUUGGACUAUAGGAAGAAAUUGUCCGAUCGAUCCUGAUAGGUACGUCCUGAGAGAUCUGAAAAUAUCUCUAAAGAAACUCACCCAAACAACCCUUUCGCCUUUUGCUCAGGGUCACCACAGAGUAACAAUACUGGUCAAAGAUGACCCGUUCAGUCCUGACAACAUUGGUUGUGUGCAGUUUGAGUUAGACAUCAACAUAAUAUCCGAUUUAAAUUUUUUAAUCGGCAAAACCGAACGUUUGAAAAAUAUACCGUCACUUUGAGCGAGUGAUUUGGACUCGAAAUGUCUCUCUCGUUUUUGUCGAUUUUGACAGCAUUGCGUACUCAGAAAUAUAAUUUUACGCGUUUCUUUGUUAUAGUUUAGUUUUGUUAUAGUUUAAGUAAGUUUCUUUAUAAUUUGUUAUCAGUUCUCAACUUUAUAAUAACUAACCAAUAUAAUACAUUACUAUACUUAUUUUCCAGUAGGAUACGUUUUUUUUUUAAUAUUUAUUUGCCAGUAUAAUAUUUAAUUUUAUACUAACUUUGCGAGUAUGGACUCUUGUUGCCCAUAUAAGACAUUGCCACAAACUUCCUGGCACAUGUGAAAUGCUAAGACCAUACAAGUUUUUAAUGUACUAGGACUGAUUUUAGAGUAUUAUUAUAGAAGACUCAAAAUAUGUACAAGGCGCUAUUU